rnacentral:rRNA from 1 species
CUAUCUACAGGCUUAACACAUGCAAGUCGAGGGGCAGCAUGGUCUUAGCUUGCUAAGGCCGAUGGCGACCGGCGCACGGGUGAGUAACGCGUAUCCAACCUGCCUUACACUCUUGGACAGCCUUCUGAAAGGGAGAUUAAUACAAGAUGUUAUCAUGAGUAAGCAUUUUCGCAUGAUUAAAGGUUUACCGGUGUAAGAUGGGGAUGCGUUCCAUUAGAUAGUAGGCGGGGUAACGGCCCACCUAGUCUUCGAUGGAUAGGGGUUCUGAGAGGAAGGUCCCCCACAUUGGAACUGAGACACGGUCCAAACUCCUACGGGAGGCAGCAGUGAGGAAUAUUGGUCAAUGGACGAGAGUCUGAACCAGCCAAGUAGCGUGAAGGAUGAAGGUUCUAUGGAUUGUAAACUUCUUUUAUACGGGAAUAAACGGAUCCACGUGUGGAUUUUUGCAUGUACCGUAUGAAUAAGGAUCGGCUAACUCCGUGCCAGCAGCCGCGGUAAUACGGAGGAUCCGAGCGUUAUCCGGAUUUAUUGGGUUUAAAGGGAGCGUAGAUGGGUUGUUAAGUCAGUUGUGAGAGUUUGCGGCUCAACCGUAAAAUUGCAAUUGAUACUGGCAGUCUUGAGUACAGUUGAGGUAGGCGGAAUUCGUGGUGUAGCGGUGAAAUGCUUAGAUAUCACGAAGAACUCCGAUUGCGAAGGCAGCUUACUAACCUGUAACUGACAUUGAUGCUCGAAAGUGUGGGUAUCAAACAGGAUUAGAUACCCUGGUAGUCCACACGGUAAACGAUGAAUACUCGCUGUAGGCGAUAUACAGUCUGCGGCCAAGCGAAAGCAUUAAGUAUUCCACCUGGGGAGUACGCCGGCAACGGUGAAACUCAAAGGAAUUGACGGGGGCCCGCACAAGCGGAGGAACAUGUGGUUUAAUUCGAUGAUACGCGAGGAACCUUACCCGGGCUUAAAUUGCAACCGAAUAUGGCGGAAACGCUAUAGCUAGCAAUAGCGGUUGUGAAGGUGCUGCAUGGUUGUCGUCAGCUCGUGCCGUGAGGUGUCGGCUUAAGUGCCAUAACGAGCGCAACCCUUGCCGAUAGUUACUAACAGGUUAUGCUGAGGACUCUGUCGGGACUGCCAUCGUAAGAUGUGAGGAAGGUGGGGAUGACGUCAAAUCAGCACGGCCCUUACGUCCGGGGCUACACACGUGUUACAAUGGGGGGUACAGAGGGCUGCUACCACGCAAGUGGAUGCCAAUCCCAAAAACCUCUCUCAGUUCGGAUUGAAGUCUGCAACCCGACUUCAUGAAGCUGGAUUCGCUAGUAAUCGCGCAUCAGCCACGGCGCGGUGAAUACGUUCCCGGGCCUUGUACACACCGCCCGUCAAGCCAUGGGAGCCGGGGGUACCUGAAGUGCGUAACCGCAAGGAGCGCCCUAGGGUAAAACUGGUGACUGGGGC